rnacentral:rRNA from 1 species
AGAGUUUGAUCCUGGCUCAGAACGAACGCUGGCAGCGUGGAUUAGGCAUGCAAGUCGAACGAGAUUCUUGGAUAUAGCAAUAUAUUUAGGAUGGAAGUGGCGUAAGGGCGAGGAACGCGUGGGCAAUCUGCCCUUGAGUUUGGGAUAACCCGCCGAAAGGUGGGCUAAUACUGGAUAAGGUUGCUGGUCGCAUGACUGGUGGACUAAAGGUGGGGAUCGCAAGACCUGCCGCUCGAGGAGGAACCCGCGCCCUAUCAGCUUGUUGGUGAGGUAACGGCCCACCAAGGCUAUGACGGGUAGCUGGUCUGAGAGGAUGGUCAGCCGCACUGGGACUGAGACACUGCCCAGACUCCUACGGGAGGCUGCAGUCGAGGAUCUUUUGCAAUGGGCGCAAGCCUGACAAAGCGACGCUGCGUGGAGGAUGAAGGCCUUCGGGUCGUAAACUCCUGUCAUUCGGGAACAAUACCGAGAGGAUUAAUACCCCUUUUGAUUGAUGGUACCGAAGGAGGAAGCCACGGCUAACUCUGUGCCAGCAGCCGCGGUAAUACAGAGGUGGCGAGCGUUGUUCGGAUUUACUGGGCGUAAAGGGUGCGUAGGUGGUUCUGUGUGUCGGAUGUAAAAGCCUGGAGCUUAACUCCAGAACGUCAUUCGAAACUGCAGGGCUAGAGUGCAGGAGAGGAGAGCGGAAUUCUUGGUGUAGCGGUGAAAUGCGUUGAUAUCAAGAAGAACACCGGAUGCGAAGGCGGCUCUCUAGUAUGUUACUGACACUGAGGCACGAAAGCCGGGGGAGCAAACAGGAU